rnacentral:rRNA from 1 species
UAGGGAAUCUUCCGCAAUGGACGCAAGUCUGACGGAGCAACGCCGCGUGAGUGAAGAAGGAUUUCGGUUCGUAAAACUCUGUUGUUAGAGAAGAACAGCGCAUAGAGUAACUGUUAUGCGUGUGACGGUACAUACAUAAGAAGCCCCGGCUAAAUACGUGCCAGCAGCCGCGGUAAUACGUAUGGGGCAAGCGUUAUCCGGAUUUACUGGGUGUAAAGGGAGCGUAGGCGGCAGUACAAGUCGGGAGUGAAAACUCGGGGCUCAACCCCGAGACUGCUCUCGAAACUGUACAGCUAGAGUGCAGGAAGGGCAGGCGGAAUUCCUGGUGUAGCGGUGAAAUGCGUAGAUAUCAGGAGGAACACCGGUGGCGAAGGCGGCCUGCUGGACUGUAACUGACGCUGAGGCUCGAAAGCGUGGGGAGCGAACAGG